AGAGGCGGAGCCGCUGUGGCACUGCUGCGCCUCUGCUGCGCCUCGGGUGUCUUUUGCGGCGGUGGGUCGCCGCCGGGAGAAGCGUGAGGGGACAGAUUUGUGACCGGCGCGGUUUUUGUCAGCUUACUCCGGCCAAAAAAGAACUGCACCUCUGGAGCGGACUUAUUUACCAAGCAUUGGAGGAAUAUCGUAGGUAAAAAUGCCUAUUGGAUCCAAAGAGAGGCCAACAUUUUUUGAAAUUUUUAAGACACGCUGCAACAAAGCAGAUUUAGGACCAAUAAGUCUUAAUUGGUUUGAAGAACUUUCUUCAGAAGCUCCACCCUAUAAUUCUGAACCUGCAGAAGAAUCUGAACAUAAAAACAACAAUUACGAACCAAACCUAUUUAAAACUCCACAAAGGAAACCAUCUUAUAAUCAGCUGGCUUCAACUCCAAUAAUAUUCAAAGAGCAAGGGCUGACUCUGCCGCUGUACCAAUCUCCUGUAAAAGAAUUAGAUAAAUUCAAAUUAGACUUAGGAAGGAAUGUUCCCAAUAGUAGACAUAAAAGUCUUCGCACAGUGAAAACUAAAAUGGAUCAAGCAGAUGAUGUUUCCUGUCCACUUCUAAAUUCUUGUCUUAGUGAAAGUCCUGUUGUUCUACAAUGUACACAUGUAACACCACAAAGAGAUAAGUCAGUGGUAUGUGGGAGUUUGUUUCAUACACCAAAGUUUGUGAAGGGUCGUCAGACACCAAAACAUAUUUCUGAAAGUCUAGGAGCUGAGGUGGAUCCUGAUAUGUCUUGGUCAAGUUCUUUAGCUACACCACCCACCCUUAGUUCUACUGUGCUCAUAGUCAGAAAUGAAGAAGCAUCUGAAACUGUAUUUCCUCAUGAUACUACUGCUAAUGUGAAAAGCUAUUUUUCCAAUCAUGAUGAAAGUCUGAAGAAAAAUGAUAGAUUUAUCGCUUCUGUGACAGACAGUGAAAACACAAAUCAAAGAGAAGCUGCAAGUCAUGGAUUUGGAAAAACAUCAGGGAAUUCAUUUAAAGUAAAUAGCUGCAAAGACCACAUUGGAAAGUCAAUGCCAAAUGUCCUAGAAGAUGAAGUAUAUGAAACAGUUGUAGAUACCUCUGAAGAAGAUAGUUUUUCAUUAUGUUUUUCUAAAUGUAGAACAAAAAAUCUACAAAAAGUAAGAACUAGCAAGACUAGGAAAAAAAUUUUCCAUGAAGCAAACGCUGAUGAAUGUGAAAAAUCUAAAAACCAAGUGAAAGAAAAAUACUCAUUUGUAUCUGAAGUGGAACCAAAUGAUACUGAUCCAUUAGAUUCAAAUGUAGCAAAUCAGAAGCCCUUUGAGAGUGGAAGUGACAAAAUCUCCAAGGAAGUUGUACCGUCUUUGGCCUGUGAAUGGUCUCAACUAACCCUUUCAGGUCUAAAUGGAGCCCAGAUGGAGAAAAUACCCCUAUUGCAUAUUUCUUCAUGUGACCAAAAUAUUUCAGAAAAAGACCUAUUAGACACAGAGAACAAAAGAAAGAAAGAUUUUCUUACUUCAGAGAAUUCUUUGCCACGUAUUUCUAGCCUACCAAAAUCAGAGAAGCCAUUAAAUGAGGAAACAGUGGUAAAUAAGAGAGAUGAAGAGCAGCAUCUUGAAUCUCAUACAGACUGCAUUCUUGCAGUAAAGCAGGCAAUAUCUGGAACUUCUCCAGUGGCUUCUUCAUUUCAGGGUAUCAAAAAGUCUAUAUUCAGAAUAAGAGAAUCACCUAAAGAGACUUUCAAUGCAAGUUUUUCAGGUCAUAUGACUGAUCCAAACUUUAAAAAAGAAACUGAAGCCUCUGAAAGUGGACUGGAAAUACAUACUGUUUGCUCACAGAAGGAGGACUCCUUAUGUCCAAAUUUAAUUGAUAAUGGAAGCUGGCCAGCCACCACCACACAGAAUUCUGUAGCUUUGAAGAAUGCAGGUUUAAUAUCCACUUUGAAAAAGAAAACAAAUAAGUUUAUUUAUGCUAUACAUGAUGAAACAUCUUAUAAAGGAAAAAAAAUACCGAAAGACCAAAAAUCAGAACUAAUUAACUGUUCAGCCCAGUUUGAAGCAAAUGCUUUUGAAGCACCACUUACAUUUGCAAAUGCUGAUUCAGGUUUAUUGCAUUCUUCUGUGAAAAGAAGCUGUUCACAGAAUGAUUCUGAAGAACCAACUUUGUCCUUAACUAGCUCUUUUGGGACAAUUCUGAGGAAAUGUUCUAGAAAUGAAACAUGUUCUAAUAAUACAGUAAUCUCUCAGGAUCUUGAUUAUAAAGAAGCAAAAUGUAAUAAGGAAAAACUACAGUUAUUUAUUACCCCAGAAGCUGAUUCUCUGUCAUGCCUGCAGGAAGGACAGUGUGAAAAUGAUCCAAAAAGCAAAAAAGUUUCAGAUAUAAAAGAAGAGGUCUUGGCUGCAGCAUGUCACCCAGUACAACAUUCAAAAGUGGAAUACAGUGAUACUGACUUUCAAUCCCAGAAAAGUCUUUUAUAUGAUCAUGAAAAUGCCAGCACUCUUAUUUUAACUCCUACUUCCAAGGAUGUUCUGUCAAACCUAGUCAUGAUUUCUAGAGGCAAAGAAUCAUACAAAAUGUCAGACAAGCUCAAAGGUAACAAUUAUGAAUCUGAUGUUGAAUUAACCAAAAAUAUUCCCAUGGAAAAGAAUCAAGAUGUAUGUGCUUUAAAUGAAAAUUAUAAAAACGUUGAGCUGUUGCCACCUGAAAAAUACAUGAGAGUAGCAUCACCUUCAAGAAAGGUACAAUUCAACCAAAACACAAAUCUAAGAGUAAUCCAAAAAAAUCAAGAAGAAACUACUUCAAUUUCAAAAAUAACUGUCAAUCCAGACUCUGAAGAACUUUUCUCAGACAAUGAGAAUAAUUUUGUCUUCCAAGUAGCUAAUGAAAGGAAUAAUCUUGCUUUAGGAAAUACUAAGGAACUUCAUGAAACAGACUUGACUUGUGUAAACGAACCCAUUUUCAAGAACUCUACCAUGGUUUUAUAUGGAGACACAGGUGAUAAACAAGCAACCCAAGUGUCAAUUAAAAAAGAUUUGGUUUAUGUUCUUGCAGAGGAGAACAAAAAUAGUGUAAAGCAGCAUAUAAAAAUGACUCUAGGUCAAGAUUUAAAAUCGGACAUCUCCUUGAAUAUAGAUAAAAUACCAGAAAAAAAUAAUGAUUACAUGAACAAAUGGGCAGGACUCUUAGGUCCAAUUUCAAAUCACAGUUUUGGAGGUAGCUUCAGAACAGCUUCAAAUAAGGAAAUCAAGCUCUCUGAACAUAACAUUAAGAAGAGCAAAAUGUUCUUCAAAGAUAUUGAAGAACAAUAUCCUACUAGUUUAGCUUGUGUUGAAAUUGUAAAUACCUUGGCAUUAGAUAAUCAAAAGAAACUGAGCAAGCCUCAGUCAAUUAAUACUGUAUCUGCACAUUUACAGAGUAGUGUAGUUGUUUCUGAUUGUAAAAAUAGUCAUAUAACCCCUCAGAUGUUAUUUUCCAAGCAGGAUUUUAAUUCAAACCAUAAUUUAACACCUAGCCAAAAGGCAGAAAUUACAGAACUUUCUACUAUAUUAGAAGAAUCAGGAAGUCAGUUUGAAUUUACUCAGUUUAGAAAACCAAGCUACAUAUUGCAGAAGAGUACAUUUGAAGUGCCUGAAAACCAGAUGACUAUCUUAAAGACCACUUCUGAGGAAUGCAGAGAUGCUGAUCUUCAUGUCAUAAUGAAUGCCCCAUCGAUUGGUCAGGUAGACAGCAGCAAGCAAUUUGAAGGUACAGUUGAAAUUAAACGGAAGUUUGCUGGCCUGUUGAAAAAUGACUGUAACAAAAGUGCUUCUGGUUAUUUAACAGAUGAAAAUGAAGUGGGGUUUAGGGGCUUUUAUUCUGCUCAUGGCACAAAACUGAAUGUUUCUACUGAAGCUCUGCAAAAAGCUGUGAAACUGUUUAGUGAUAUUGAGAAUAUUAGUGAGGAAACUUCUGCAGAGGUACAUCCAAUAAGUUUAUCUUCAAGUAAAUGUCAUGAUUCUGUUGUUUCAAUGUUUAAGAUAGAAAAUCAUAAUGAUAAAACUGUAAGUGAAAAAAAUAAUAAAUGCCAACUGAUAUUACAAAAUAAUAUUGAAAUGACUACUGGCACUUUUGUUGAAGAAAUUACUGAAAAUUACAAGAGAAAUACUGAAAAUGAAGAUAACAAAUAUACUGCUGCCAGUAGAAAUUCUCAUAACUUAGAAUUUGAUGGCAGUGAUUCAAGUAAAAAUGAUACUGUUUGUAUUCAUAAAGAUGAAACGGACUUGCUAUUUACUGAUCAGCACAACAUAUGUCUUAAAUUAUCUGGCCAGUUUAUGAAGGAGGGAAACACUCAGAUUAAAGAAGAUUUGUCAGAUUUAACUUUUUUGGAAGUUGCGAAAGCUCAAGAAGCAUGUCAUGGUAAUACUUCAAAUAAAGAACAGUUAACUGCUACUAAAACGGAGCAAAAUAUAAAAGAUUUUGAGACUUCUGAUACAUUUUUUCAGACUGCAAGUGGGAAAAAUAUUAGUGUCGCCAAAGAGUCAUUUAAUAAAAUUGUAAAUUUCUUUGAUCAGAAACCAGAAGAAUUGCAUAACUUUUCCUUAAAUUCUGAAUUACAUUCUGACAUAAGAAAGAACAAAAUGGACAUUCUAAGUUAUGAGGAAACAGACAUAGUUAAACACAAAAUACUGAAAGAAAGUGUCCCAGUUGGUACUGGAAAUCAACUAGUGACCUUCCAGGGACAACCCGAACGUGAUGAAAAGAUCAAAGAACCUACUCUAUUGGGUUUUCAUACAGCUAGCGGGAAAAAAGUUAAAAUUGCAAAGGAAUCUUUGGACAAAGUGAAAAACCUUUUUGAUGAAAAAGAGCAAGGUACUAGUGAAAUCACCAGUUUUAGCCAUCAAUGGGCAAAGACCCUAAAGUACAGAGAGGCCUGUAAAGACCUUGAAUUAGCAUGUGAGACCAUUGAGAUCACAGCUGCCCCAAAGUGUAAAGAAAUGCAGAAUUCUCUCAAUAAUGAUAAAAACCUUGUUUCUAUUGAGACUGUGGUGCCACCUAAGCUCUUAAGUGAUAAUUUAUGUAGACAAACUGAAAAUCUCAAAACAUCAAAAAGUAUCUUUUUGAAAGUUAAAGUACAUGAAAAUGUAGAAAAAGAAACAGCAAAAAGUCCUGCAACUUGUUACACAAAUCAGUCCCCUUAUUCAGUCAUUGAAAAUUCAGCCUUAGCUUUUUACACAAGUUGUAGUAGAAAAACUUCUGUGAGUCAGACUUCAUUACUUGAAGCAAAAAAAUGGCUUAGAGAAGGAAUAUUUGAUGGUCAACCAGAAAGAAUAAAUACUGCAGAUUAUGUAGGAAAUUAUUUGUAUGAAAAUAAUUCAAACAGUACUAUAGCUGAAAAUGACAAAAAUCAUCUCUCCGAAAAACAAGAUACUUAUUUAAGUAACAGUAGCAUGUCUAACAGCUAUUCCUACCAUUCUGAUGAGGUAUAUAAUGAUUCAGGAUAUCUCUCAAAAAAUAAACUUGAUUCUGGUAUUGAGCCAGUAUUGAAGAAUGUUGAAGAUCAAAAAAACACUAGUUUUUCCAAAGUAAUAUCCAAUGUAAAAGAUGCAAAUGCAUACCCACAAACUGUAAAUGAAGAUAUUUGCGUUGAGGAACUUGUGACUAGCUCUUCACCCUGCAAAAAUAAAAAUGCAGCCAUUAAAUUGUCCAUAUCUAAUAGUAAUAAUUUUGAGGUAGGGCCACCUGCAUUUAGGAUAGCCAGUGGUAAAAUCGUUUGUGUUUCACAUGAAACAAUUAAAAAAGUGAAAGACAUAUUUACAGACAGUUUCAGUAAAGUAAUUAAGGAAAACAACGAGAAUAAAUCAAAAAUUUGCCAAACGAAAAUUAUGGCAGGUUGUUACGAGGCAUUGGAUGAUUCAGAGGAUAUUCUUCAUAACUCUCUAGAUAAUGAUGAAUGUAGCACGCAUUCACAUAAGGUUUUUGCUGACAUUCAGAGUGAAGAAAUUUUACAACAUAACCAAAAUAUGUCUGGAUUGGAGAAAGUUUCUAAAAUAUCACCUUGUGAUGUUAGUUUGGAAACUUCAGAUAUAUGUAAAUGUAGUAUAGGGAAGCUUCAUAAGUCAGUCUCAUCUGCAAAUACUUGUGGGAUUUUUAGCACAGCAAGUGGAAAAUCUGUCCAGGUAUCAGAUGCUUCAUUACAAAACGCAAGACAAGUGUUUUCUGAAAUAGAAGAUAGUACCAAGCAAGUCUUUUCCAAAGUAUUGUUUAAAAGUAACGAACAUUCAGACCAGCUCACAAGAGAAGAAAAUACUGCUAUACGUACUCCAGAACAUUUAAUAUCCCAAAAAGGCUUUUCAUAUAAUGUGGUAAAUUCAUCUGCUUUCUCUGGAUUUAGUACAGCAAGUGGAAAGCAAGUUUCCAUUUUAGAAAGUUCCUUACACAAAGUUAAGGGAGUGUUAGAGGAAUUUGAUUUAAUCAGAACUGAGCAUAGUCUUCACUAUUCACCUACGUCUAGACAAAAUGUAUCAAAAAUACUUCCUCGUGUUGAUAAGAGAAACCCAGAGCACUGUGUAAACUCAGAAAUGGAAAAAACCUGCAGUAAAGAAUUUAAAUUAUCAAAUAACUUAAAUGUUGAAGGUGGUUCUUCAGAAAAUAAUCACUCUAUUAAAGUUUCUCCAUAUCUCUCUCAAUUUCAACAAGACAAACAACAGUUGGUAUUAGGAACCAAAGUGUCACUUGUUGAGAACAUUCAUGUUUUGGGAAAAGAACAGGCUUCACCUAAAAACGUAAAAAUGGAAAUUGGUAAAACUGAAACUUUUUCUGAUGUUCCUGUGAAAACAAAUAUAGAAGUUUGUUCUACUUACUCCAAAGAUUCAGAAAACUACUUUGAAACAGAAGCAGUAGAAAUUGCUAAAGCUUUUAUGGAAGAUGAUGAACUGACAGAUUCUAAACUGCCAAGUCAUGCCACACAUUCUCUUUUUACAUGUCCCGAAAAUGAGGAAAUGGUUUUGUCAAAUUCAAGAAUUGGAAAAAGAAGAGGAGAGCCCCUUAUCUUAGUGGGAGAACCCUCAAUCAAAAGAAACUUAUUAAAUGAAUUUGACAGGAUAAUAGAAAAUCAAGAAAAAUCCUUAAAGGCUUCAAAAAGCACUCCAGAUGGCACAAUAAAAGAUCGAAGAUUGUUUAUGCAUCAUGUUUCUUUAGAGCCGAUUACCUGUGUACCCUUUCGCACAACUAAGGAACGUCAAGAGAUACAGAAUCCAAAUUUUACCGCACCUGGUCAAGAAUUUCUGUCUAAAUCUCAUUUGUAUGAACAUCUGACUUUGGAAAAAUCUUCAAGCAAUUUAGCAGUUUCAGGACAUCCAUUUUAUCAAGUUUCUGCUACAAGAAAUGAAAAAAUGAGACACUUGAUUACUACAGGCAGACCAACCAAAGUCUUUGUUCCACCUUUUAAAACUAAAUCACAUUUUCACAGAGUUGAACAGUGUGUUAGGAAUAUUAACUUGGAGGAAAACAGACAAAAGCAAAACAUUGAUGGACAUGGCUCUGAUGAUAGUAAAAAUAAGAUUAAUGACAAUGAGAUUCAUCAGUUUAACAAAAACAACUCCAAUCAAGCAGUAGCUGUAACUUUCACAAAGUGUGAAGAAGAACCUUUAGAUUUAAUUACAAGUCUUCAGAAUGCCAGAGAUAUACAGGAUAUGCGAAUUAAGAAGAAACAAAGGCAACGCGUCUUUCCACAGCCAGGCAGUCUGUAUCUUGCAAAAACAUCCACUCUGCCUCGAAUCUCUCUGAAAGCAGCAGUAGGAGGCCAAGUUCCCUCUGCGUGUUCUCAUAAACAGCUGUAUACGUAUGGCGUUUCUAAACAUUGCAUAAAAAUUAACAGCAAAAAUGCAGAGUCUUUUCAGUUUCACACUGAAGAUUAUUUUGGUAAGGAAAGUUUAUGGACUGGAAAAGGAAUACAGUUGGCUGAUGGUGGAUGGCUCAUACCCUCCAAUGAUGGAAAGGCUGGAAAAGAAGAAUUUUAUAGGGCUCUGUGUGACACUCCAGGUGUGGAUCCAAAGCUUAUUUCUAGAAUUUGGGUUUAUAAUCACUAUAGAUGGAUCAUAUGGAAACUGGCAGCUAUGGAAUGUGCCUUUCCUAAGGAAUUUGCUAAUAGAUGCCUAAGCCCAGAAAGGGUGCUUCUUCAACUAAAAUACAGAUAUGAUACGGAAAUUGAUAGAAGCAGAAGAUCGGCUAUAAAAAAGAUAAUGGAAAGGGAUGACACAGCUGCAAAAACACUUGUUCUCUGUGUUUCUGACAUAAUUUCAUUGAGCGCAAAUAUAUCUGAAACUUCUAGCAAUAAAACUAGUAGUGCAGAUACCCAAAAAGUGGCCAUUAUUGAACUUACAGAUGGGUGGUAUGCUGUUAAGGCCCAGUUAGAUCCUCCCCUCUUAGCUGUCUUAAAGAAUGGCAGACUGACAGUUGGUCAGAAGAUUAUUCUUCAUGGAGCAGAACUGGUGGGCUCUCCUGAUGCCUGUACACCUCUUGAAGCCCCAGAAUCUCUUAUGUUAAAGAUUUCUGCUAACAGUACUCGGCCUGCUCGCUGGUAUACCAAACUUGGAUUCUUUCCUGACCCUAGACCUUUUCCUCUGCCCUUAUCAUCGCUUUUCAGUGAUGGAGGAAAUGUUGGUUGUGUUGAUGUAAUUAUUCAAAGAGCAUACCCUAUACAGUGGAUGGAGAAGACAUCAUCUGGAUUAUACAUAUUUCGCAAUGAAAGAGAGGAAGAAAAGGAAGCAGCAAAAUAUGUGGAGGCCCAACAAAAGAGACUAGAAGCCUUAUUCACUAAAAUUCAGGAGGAAUUUGAAGAACAUGAAGUUACUUCCUCCACUGAAGUCUUGAACCCCCCAAAGUCAUCCAUGAGGGUUGGAAUCAACUUCUGAAAACACAACAAAACCAUAUUUACCAUCACGUGCACUAACAAGACAGCAAGUUCGUGCUUUGCAAGAUGGUGCAGAGCUUUAUGAAGCAGUGAAGAAUGCAGCAGACCCAGCUUACCUUGAGGGUUAUUUCAGUGAAGAGCAGUUAAGAGCCUUGAAUAAUCACAGGCAAAUGUUGAAUGAUAAGAAACAAGCUCAGAUCCAGUUGGAAAUUAGGAAGGCCAUGGAAUCUGCUGAACAAAAGGAACAAGGUUUAUCAAGGGAUGUCACAACCGUGUGGAAGUUGCGUAUUGUAAGCUAUUCAAAAAAAGAAAAAGAUUCAGUUAUACUGAGUAUUUGGCGUCCAUCAUCAGAUUUAUAUUCUCUGUUAACAGAAGGAAAGAGAUACAGAAUUUAUCAUCUUGCAACUUCAAAAUCUAAAAGUAAAUCUGAAAGAGCUAACAUACAGUUAGCAGCGACAAAAAAAACUCAGUAUCAACAACUACCGGUUUCAGAUGAAAUUUUAUUUCAGAUUUACCAGCCACGGGAGCCCCUUCACUUCAGCAAAUUUUUAGAUCCAGACUUUCAGCCAUCUUGUUCUGAGGUGGACCUAAUAGGAUUUGUCGUUUCUGUUGUGAAAAAAACAGGACUUGCCCCUUUCGUCUAUUUGUCAGACGAAUGUUACAAUUUACUGGCAAUAAAGUUUUGGAUAGACCUUAAUGAGGACAUUAUUAAGCCUCAUAUGUUAAUUGCUGCAAGCAACCUCCAGUGGCGACCAGAAUCCAAAUCAGGCCUUCUUACUUUAUUUGCUGGAGAUUUUUCUGUGUUUUCUGCUAGUCCAAAAGAGGGCCACUUUCAAGAGACAUUCAACAAAAUGAAAAAUACUGUUGAGAAUAUUGACAUACUUUGCAAUGAAGCAGAAAACAAGCUUAUGCAUAUACUGCAUGCAAAUGAUCCCAAGUGGUCCACCCCAACUAAAGACUGUACUUCAGGGCCGUACACUGCUCAAAUCAUUCCUGGUACAGGAAACAAGCUUCUGAUGUCUUCUCCUAAUUGUGAGAUAUAUUAUCAAAGUCCUUUAUCACUUUGUAUGGCCAAAAGGAAGUCUGUUUCCACACCUGUCUCAGCCCAGAUGACUUCAAAGUCUUGUAAAGGGGAGAAAGAGAUUGAUGACCAAAAGAACUGCAAAAAGAGAAGAGCCUUGGAUUUCUUGAGUAGACUGCCUUUACCUCCACCUGUUAGUCCCAUUUGUACAUUUGUUUCUCCGGCUGCACAGAAGGCAUUUCAGCCACCAAGGAGUUGUGGCACCAAAUACGAAACACCCAUAAAGAAAAAAGAACUGAAUUCUCCUCAGAUGACUCCAUUUAAAAAAUUCAAUGAAAUUUCUCUUUUGGAAAGUAAUUCAAUAGCUGACGAAGAACUUGCAUUGAUAAAUACCCAAGCUCUUUUGUCUGGUUCAACAGGAGAAAAACAAUUUAUAUCUGUCAGUGAAUCCACUAGGACUGCUCCCACCAGUUCAGAAGAUUAUCUCAGACUGAAACGACGUUGUACUACAUCUCUGAUCAAAGAACAGGAGAGUUCCCAGGCCAGUACGGAAGAAUGUGAGAAAAAUAAGCAGGACACAAUUACAACUAAAAAAUAUAUCUAAGCAUUUGCAAAGGCGACAAUAAAUUAUUGACGCUUAACCUUUCCAGUUUAUAAGACUGGAAUAUAAUUUCAAACCACACAUUAGUACUUAUGUUGCACAAUGAGAAAAGAAAUUAGUUUCAAAUUUACCUCAGCGUUUGUGUAUCGGGCAAAAAUCGUUUUGCCCGAUUCCGUAUUGGUAUACUUUUGCUUCAGUUGCAUAUCUUAAAACUAAAUGUAAUUUAUUAACUAAUCAAGAAAAACAUCUUUGGCUGAGCUCGGUGGCUCAUGCCUGUAAUCCCAACACUUUGAGAAGCUGAGGUGGGAGGAGUGCUUGAGGCCAGGAGUUCAAGACCAGCCUGGGCAACAUAGGGAGACCCCCAUCUUUACAAAGAAAAAAAAAAGGGGAAAAGAAAAUCUUUUAAAUCUUUGGAUUUGAUCACUACAAGUAUUAUUUUACAAGUGAAAUAAACAUACCAUUUUCUUUUAGAUUGUGUCAUUAAAUGGAAUGAGGUCUCUUAGUACAGUUAUUUUGAUGCAGAUAAUUCCUUUUAGUUUAGCUACUAUUUUAGGGGAUUUUUUUUAGAGGUAACUCACUAUGAAAUAGUUCUCCUUAAUGCAAAUAUGUUGGUUCUGCUAUAGUUCCAUCCUGUUCAAAAGUCAGGAUGAAUAUGAAGAGUGGUGUUUCCUUUUGAGCAAUUCUUCAUCCUUAAGUCAGCAUGAUUAUAAGAAAAAUAGAACCCUCAGUGUAACUCUAAUUCCUUUUUACUAUUCCAGUGUGAUCUCUGAAAUUAAAUUACUUCAACUAAAAAUUCAAAUACUUUAAAUCAGAAGAUUUCAUAGUUAAUUUAUUUUUUUUUUCAACAAAAUGGUCAUCCAAACUCAAACUUGAGAAAAUAUCUUGCUUUCAAAUUGGCACUGAUUCUGCCUGCUUUAUUUUUAGCGCUAUCACAGGACCCAGAGCCUAUGCCCUUUUAAACUUACCACAAAAGCAGAAGAUUAAUUCAAUUUAAGAUGAUACUCUCAUUUGUUACGUCCUUUUUUUUUUUUUUUGGAGAUGGAGUCUUGCUUUGUCGCCCAUGCUGGAGUGCAGUGGCAUGAUCCUGGCUCACUGCAGCCUCCACUUCCCGGGUUCACGUAAUUCUCCCACCUCAAGCCUCCCUAGUAGCUGGGAUUACAGGGACGCACCACCAUGCCCAGCUAAUUUUUGCAUUUUUAGUAGAGACUGGGUUUUACCAUGUUGGCCAAGCUGGUCUCAAACUCCUGAUGUCAGGUGAUCCAUCUGCCUCAGCCUCCCAAAGUGCUGGGAUUAUAGGCGUGAGCCACUGUGCCCGGCCAAUAUUUGUUACUUUCUUAGGUUUAAUAGAGAAAAGGGAUAAAACAUUUCUAACUGGGAGUUAAUUGCAUGGAGAAGGUCUUAAAUCAGAUGUUUUAAUGCCUUAAAUGUCUGUAUAAUAUCAUGUUUUCAAAUCUAAUUAUAAAUACGUUUAAAGCCAAGAAUAAAUCUUUUAAAAAAUUGA